GAUGAACGCUGGCGGCGUGCCUAAUACAUGCAAGUCGAGCGAAUGGAUUAAGAGCUUGCUCUUAUGAAGUUAGCGGCGGACGGGUGAGUAACACGUGGGUAACCUGCCCAUAAGACUGGGAUAACUCCGGGAAACCGGGGCUAAUACCGGAUAAUAUUUUGAACUGCAUGGUUCAAAAUUGAAAGGCGGCUUCGGCUGUCACUUAUGGAUGGACCCGCGUCGCAUUAGCUAGUUGGUGAGGUAACGGCUCACCAAGGCAACGAUGCGUAGCCGACCUGAGAGGGUGAUCGGGCACACUGGGACUGAGACACGGCCCAGACUCCUACGGGAGGCAGCAGUAGGGAAUCUUCCGCAAUGGACGAAAGUCCGACGGAGCAACGCCGCGUGAGUGAUGAAGGCUUUCGGGUCGUAAAACUCUGUUGUUAGGGAAGAACAAGUGCUAGUUGAAUAAGCUGGCACCUUGACGGUACCUAACCAGAAAGCCACGGCUAACUACGUGCCAGCCGCCGCGGUAA
rnacentral:rRNA from 1 species